rnacentral:misc_RNA from 1 species
UGCAGGAGUGAGCCUGCUCGCGAUAGCGGUGUGUCAGUCACCGUUAAAGUUGUCUGACACACCGCUAUCGCGAGCAGGCUCACUCCUACA